rnacentral:lncRNA from 1 species
UCUGGUUUCAGGACACACUGGAAAACAAGCUACAUCUAUGGCGAGCAACGACUCCCGGCUGCAGGGUGAGACAGAUAAGAGGAUAAGAGGGAGCAGGAGCAGACGGAGAAAGAAGGUGGCAAGACAGAGCAGACUGUGGGUUCUCUCAACAGGGUGAACAUGAAAAAUAGAAGCCUCCAGUUUCUCCUGAUAGUGUAUAGAUGGGCAGAUCUGGCCUCAAUGGCAGAAGAUACUUGGGGAACUGGAGAAAGUACAGAAGGUGAUGUGAAAUCAAUUGGGUCAUCAAAAGAAGACGGGUGUACCACAAUUUGUUCCUCCACCUGCUGCCCAUGAACAUUUGGAGGGU